rnacentral:rRNA from 1 species
AGGACGAACGCUGGCGGCGUGCUUAAUACAUGCAAGUCGAGGGACGAAACCGGAGUGGGUAACCACUCUGGCUGAAACCGGCGAACGGGUGAGUAACACGUGGGCAACGUGCCCCAGACUCAGGAACAACAACGGGAAACCGUUGCUAAUGCCUGAUAACCCCUGCGCACCGCAUGGCGUGCAGGGCAAAGCUCCGGCGGUCUGGGAUCGGCCCGCGUCCUAUCAGCUUGUUGGUGGGUAAUGGCCUACCAAGGCGAUGACGGGUAGCUGGCGUGAGAGCGCGACCAGCCACACUGGGACUGAGACACGGCCAGACUCCUACGGGAGGCAGCAGUAGGGAAUCUGCACAAUGGGCGCAAGCCUGAUGCAGCGACGCCGGCGUGGAGGAUGACGGCCGUUCGGUUAGUAAACCUCUUUACGAGCGGGACGAAGCGAAAGUGACGUACCGCGAAGAAGAAGGUCCGCCAACGUACGUGACCAGCACGCCGCGGUAAUCGU